AUCCCAGUUCGGAUUGCAGGCUGCAACCCGCCUGUAUGAAGUUGGAAUCGCUAGUAAUCGCGGAUCAGCAUGCCGCGGUGAAUACGUUCCCGGGCCUUGUACACACCGCCCGUCACACCAUGAGAGUCGGGAACACCCGAAGUCCGUAGCCUAACCGCAAGGAGGGCGCGGCCGAAGGUGGGUCCGAUAAUUGGGGUGAAGUCGUAACAAGGUAUC
rnacentral:rRNA from 1 species